rnacentral:tRNA from 1 species
GGGAAGGUGGCUCAGUGGUAGAGUACUUGCCUUGCAUGCAUGAGGCCCUGGGUUCGAUUCCUCAGC